UUUUAAUUUGGCUUUGGUUAUAAUAUAAGUUUUUAUUAAGUUAUAUAUGUUAGGUUUUAAAAUAUACGUCUUAUUUAUUUAUUUGUUUGUUUGGUUUGUUUAAUAUAAAUUAAAUAAUAAAAUGGGUUUUUAGUGGUUAAACUAUAAUAAUUAAAGUAGAUUACGCAGUAUUUAUUAUUAUACAAUGAAUGAAAGUUUGAUAUAAUUAGUGUAAAUUAAAAGUGGUUAAAUUAGUGCCAGCAUCUGCGGUUAUACUAAUACUUUAAAUUUAUAUUUAUAUAGUAUAAAAUAAAGUAAUAUAUUAUUUAAUGUUUAGAAUGUUUGAGAUCAGCUAUUAAAGGUAAAAUUUGGUAGUUGUUAUUAAUUAUAUUGUUCUAAUUAUAAAUUCUUUGAAAAUAAGGGCGAAAACUAGGAUUAGAUACCCUAUUAUUCUUUAUUUUAAAAAUUUUAUUACUUAAGUAGUGUGAACGUUUUAUUUUUGAAAUAUAUAUGUGUUAAUAUUGAAUGUUUUAAACUUAAAAGGCUUGGCGGUGUUAUACAUCCUUCCAGAGGAGUUUGCUUAUUAAUUUGAUAAUCCUCAAUUUAUACUUACUUUUUUUUGAAAUAAAUAAGUAUAUUUAUUUAAUCAGUUUGUAUAUUGCUGUCAUUAGUUUAUUUUGUAAAAAUUUUAUAAGAAACUUAAUAAUUUUAUAAUUAUUAUGUCAAGUCAAAAUGCAGCUAAUAAAAAAGGUUUAUAAAGUGAACUACAGUUUAUAAUUUUUUAGGUCGGAUUAGAUUAUGUAAUUAAUUUAUGAAGUUGGAUUUGGUAGUAAUAAUAUAAUAGUGAGUUUUUAUGAAUUAGGUUUUAUAAUGCGUACAUAUCGCCCGUCGCUCUUGUUGGAAAAUAAGAUAAGUCGUAACAUAGUAGAUGUAGUGGAAACUGUUUCUGGGGUAUA
rnacentral:ncRNA from 1 species